ACAAAAGUAUCAUUUUUUUUACCACUUUUCCAUUCUUUAUGAUCAACGAGGGCUCCGCUAGUUUAAAGGGGUCUGACAUACAUUUUCUUUACAUUCAAUAUUAAUUGCCUUUCAAUAUCCUCGAAUCUAUUAUUGAAGUGUCUUACUUUGAGCAACAUUUAGCUUUCUUCUGAUUUUUUUAGAGAUUUAGAGGUGUUUCUGGUGAUUGGAGAUGAGUAUACUUUCUCACUGUAUCUUUUCAAGUUCAUGAUCAUUUAUUAUCAGCACGUAAUGGUGUUCACUUACAUCUUGAAACAGGUGAUGCUUUGCACAGCCUAAGGACCAAUUUACAGGAUCCUAACAAUGUCCUAUAGAGUUGGGAUCCUACCCUCGUUAACCCCUACACAUGGUUUCAUGUCCUACACAGUUGGAUUUUUAUGCAGUUUGAGGAUGACAGUUUGGAGUUUGCAAAGACUGUGAAGCAGUGGAAUGUAAAGAUUAUCUCAAUUAGCAAGAAUAAGCGACACCAAGAUAGAACUACAACGUUGGAUGUGUGGGAAAAACUAGAAGAUUUUGUUCGGUCACAAUCACAUUCUUGAUGUGCACCGACUUUUUAUCAAUAGAUAGUUUUCUUGAAAAAUCAAUUACCCAUAUUUACAAAUUUGGAUAGUCUGGAGUUUAUGUCAAAAGUUGGAACUUUGAUAAAAAUAAGUAGGGAAUUGUAGUUGACAUUGUUUAUUUUAGGUGUGUGUGUAUAAUUGUUAAUGUAAGACUUGGUCUUUGUUUUUGUGAAUUUUGGUGAACUUCAAGGUUUUUCAUUCAUGGUAGUUGAUACAGAGGAUGCAUUUUGCAAGAACA